rnacentral:misc_RNA from 1 species
AUCAUUUAGAGGAAGGAGAAGUCGUAACAAGGUUUCCGUAGGUGACCUGCGGAAGGAUCAUUGUCGAAACCUGCAAGGCAGACCGCGAACACGUUGUCCAACAACUCCGGAGCCGCGGUGCGGGGGAAAACCCCCCGUCACGGCACCGUCCCCGCCGGCGUGUGCGCCGGCGCCACGUCGUGCGGGUUAACGAACUCGGGCGCGGUAUGCGCCAAGGAAAACCAAACGGAUUGUUCCCCUCCCCAUAGUGGCCCGUCCGCGGGUCACGGGGGAGGAAGGGACGUCUAACGAAUGUCUGAACGACUCUCGACAACGGAUAUCUCGGCUCUCGCAUCGAUGAAGAACGUAGCGAAAUGCGAUACUUGGUGUGAAUUGCAGAAUCCCGUGAACCAUCGAGUCUUUGAACGCAAGUUGCGCCCGAAGCCUCUAGGCUGAGGGCACGUCUGCCUGGGCGUCACGCAUCACGUCGCCCCCUCCCCCGCGCACCGCGCUCGGUGGGGGCGGAGAUUGGCCUCCCGUGCGCCCCGUCGCAUGGCUGGCCCAAAUGCGAUCCCCCGACGACGCACGUCGCGACUAGUGGUGGUUGAACGAUCAACUCGCAUGCUGUCGUGUGCCAAGGCGUCGUCGGCAAGGGAAUUCGAACUGACCCAACGGCGCACCGUGCCUCCGACCGCGACCCCAGGUCAGGCGGGAUCACCCGCUGAGUUUAAGCAUAUCA